rnacentral:rRNA from 1 species
GACAGAGGGUGCAAACGUUGUUCGGAAUUACUGGGCGUAAAGCGAGUGUAGGCGGUUUCCUAAGUCAGGUGUGAAAGCCCCGGGCUCAACCCGGGAAGUGCACUUGAAACUGGGAGGCUAGAGUAUCGGAGAGGUUGGUGGAAUUCUCGGUGUAGAGGUGAAAUUCGUAGAUAUUCGGAAGAACACCAGUGGCGAAGGCGACUUACUGGACACAUAUUGACGCUGAGGUGCGAAAGCGUGGGGAGCAAACAGG